UACGCACGCUGGCGGCGUGCUUAACACAUGCAAGUCGAACGGAAAGGCCCUGCUUUUGUGGGGUGCUCGAGUGGCGAACGGGUGAGUAACACGUGAGUAACCUGCCCUUGACUUUGGGAUAACUUCAGGAAACUGGGGCUAAUACCGGAUAGGAGCUCCUGCUGCAUGGUGGGGGUUGGAAAGUUUCGGCGGUUGGGGAUGGACUCGCGGCUUAUCAGCUUGUUGGUGGGGUAGUGGCUUACCAAGGCUUUGACGGGUAGCCGGCCUGAGAGGGUGACCGGCCACAUUGGGACUGAGAUACGGCCCAGACUCCUACGGGAGGCAGCAGUGGGGAAUAUUGCACAAUGGGCGGAAGCCUGAUGCAGCAACGCCGCGUGCGGGAUGACGGCCUUCGGGUUGUAAACCGCUUUCGCCUGUGACGAAGCGUGAGUGACGGUAAUGGGUAAAGAAGCACCGGCUAACUACGUG
rnacentral:rRNA from 1 species